ACGAACGCUGGCGGCGUGCCUAAUACAUGCAAGUCGAACGGUCUUUCUAUGGAAGCUUGCUUCCACUGAGAAGAUAGUGGCGAACGGGUGAGUAACACGUGGGUAACCUGCCCAUAAGAGGGGGAGUAACAUCCGGAAACGGGUGCUAAUACCGCAUAGUUUUCUUGAUCGCAUGAUUGAGAAAGGAAAGACGGCCUUUGUGCUGUCGCUUAUGGAUGGACCCGCGGCGUAUUAGUUAGUUGGUGAGGUAAUGGCUCACCAAGACGAUGAUACGUAGCCGACCUGAGAGGGUGAUCGGCCACAUUGGGACUGAGACACGGCCCAAACUCCUACGGGAGGCAGCAGUAGGGAAUCUUCUGCAAUGGACGAAAGUCUGACGGAGCAACGCCGCGUGAGUGAAAGAAGGUUUUCGGAUCGUAAAACUCUGUUGUCAGAGAAGAACAAGUUGGAGAGUAACUGCUCCAGCCUUGACGGUAUCUGACCAGAAAGCCACGGCUAACUACGUGCCAGCCGCCGC
rnacentral:rRNA from 1 species